GUGAUGAAGAACCCCCAUUGUCAUCGUUGUCGUCAUCAUCAUUGUCAACGUUGGAAGAGCCCCGUCAUCGUCAUCGUCACCGGUGGAAGAGCUCCGUCGUCAUCGUCGUGAUCGUUAAAGUCAACGUGAUGAAGAGCCCGCCAUUAUUGUCACCGCCGGAAGAGCCCCGUCGUCAUCGUCACCGUGAUGAAGAGCCCCCAUUGUCAUUUUCGUCAUCAUCAUCGUCGUCAUCAUCAUUGUCGUCUUCAUCAUCGUCGUCGUCGUCAUCUUUAUCAUCAUCGUCACAGUUGGAAGAGCCAUCUUCAUCAUCAUCAUCAUCAUGGUUGGAAGAGCCGUCUUCAUCAUCAUCAUCAUCAUCCGUCACCACUGUGAAGAGCCCCCAUGGUCCUCGCGCUCUUCAUCCUCACCGCCACCAUCCUCAUCCUCCUCAUCAUCACCGUUGCCUUCCUCUUCCUCCUCCUCCUCCUCACCUUCCUCCUCCUCCUCCCUUUUGUCACCACCGUUGUCAUCUUCCUCCUCCUCUUCUUCCUCCUCUUCCUCACCGUUUUCCUCAUCUUCCUCUUCGUCGUCACCACCACCACCGUCCUCCUCCUCCUCACCUUCAUCUUCGUCACCAUCAUCACCUUCCUCCCCCUCCUCACCUUCAUCUUCAUCACCAUCAUCACC
rnacentral:lncRNA from 1 species